GUAACCUGCCCUGUACAGGGGGAUAACAGUCAGAAAUGACUGCUAAUACCGCAUAAGACCACAGCACCGCAUGGUGCAGGGGUAAAAACUCCGGUGGUACAGGAUGGACCCGCGUCUGAUUAGCUGGUUGGUGAGGUAACGGCUCACCAAGGCGACGAUCAGUAGCCGGCUUGAGAGAGUGAACGGCCACAUUGGGACUGAGACACGGCCCAAACUCCUACGGGAGGCAGCAUG
rnacentral:rRNA from 1 species